CGGUUGAUCCUGCCGGAGGCUAUUGCUAUCAGGGUUUGACUAAGCCAUGCGAGUCGAGAGGUGAAAGACCUCGGCAUACUGCUCAGUAACACGUGGAUAAUCUGCCCUCAGGUGAGGAAUAAUCCCGGGAAACUGGGGCUAAUCCCUCAUAGGAGACGGGUGCUGGAAUGCUCUGUCUCUGAAAGGUCCGCCGCCUGAGGAUGAGUCUGCGUCCGAUUAGGUUGUUGUUGGGGUAACGGCCCACCAAGCCAUUGAUCGGUACGGGUUGUGAGAGCAAGAGCCCGGAGAUGGAUUCUGAGGCAUGAAUCCAGGCCCUACGGGGCGCAGCAGGCGCGAAAACUUUACAAUGCGAGCAAUCGUGAUAAGGAAACCCUGAGUGCCUGUCAAUGCAGGCUGUUCUGGUGUUUAGUCAGCACCAGGAGAAAGGGCGGGGCAAGACCGGUGCCAGCCGCCGCGGUAAUACCGGCUGCUCGAGUGAUAGCCACUUUUACUGGGCUUAAAGCGUUCGUAGCUUGGUCGUUAAGUCUCUGGGGAAAUCUUUUGGCUCAACCAAAAGACGUCUCAGAGAAACUGGCGACCUUGGGACCGGGAGAGGUAAGACGUACUUCGGGGGUAGGAGUGAAAUCUUGUAAUCCCCGAGGGACGACCGAUGGCGAAGGCAUCUUACCAGAACGGCUCCGACAGUGAGGGACGAAAGCUGGGGGAGCAAACCGGAUUAGAUACCCGGGUAGUCCUAGCCGUAAACGAUGUGCGUUAGGUGUGUCAGUGACCACGAGUCACUGAGGUGCCGAAGGGAAACCGUGAAACGCACCGCCUGGGAAGUACGGUCGCAAGGCUGAAACUUAAAGGAAUUGGCGGGGGAGCAC
rnacentral:rRNA from 1 species